AGGCAUAUGUACAAUAAGUUUGACCGUGCUGUUUACUUGGAUGUAUAAAUGGAAGAAAGAAAUAAUAUUGUGAAUCUUGACGACAAAAAAUAUUGUAAGCACAUUGUGCUAGUUUGAUUUUACAUUAUUAGUGCGUAUUUAUGUGGGUAUAAGAAAAUAAGUUUCAUUUACGAUUAGUUUAAAUAUAUUACGGAUAUUGGUGGCUAUGUUGUGUAUUAUAUAUGAGUAUGUGUUUUAAAAGUGUGUGCAAUAACGGUAUUAAGGAUGAUAUAAUUGUUAAAUAUUCCUCUGCGAUUUAGGCGAAGCUUUUGUUUUGAGGGAAUUCAAACUUCUUUUACCUGCUCUCUCAUUGGAAAUCAUUGAUAACAGGAUAUAACAGCAGACGUGUGUGGGAUAAGGAAAGGAUUUUACCGAUACGAUAUUACCGAAGGAGUUUCAUAGGAAAGAGAGAGAAAAAAAUUGUAAUACCAACCGCCCCAAUUGCUAUCAGAACG